UAUAUUUGCUCCUGUCACUCUCAUGCUUAUCACACACACACAUGGGACAAAAGAGAUUCGCAGUCAGCAGGAUUCGAACCUACGCGGGCAGAGCCCAUUUGAUUUCGAGUCAAACUCCUUAACCACUCGGACAUGACUGCAUGCCGA
ensembl:ncRNA T02G6.12 ncRNA